rnacentral:rRNA from 1 species
AACGAACGCUGGCGGCAUGCCUAACACAUGCAAGUCGAACGAGACCUUCGGGUCUAGUGGCGCACGGGUGCGUAACGCGUGGGAACCUGCCCUUAGGUUCGGAAUAACUCCCCGAAAGGGGUGCUAAUACCGGUUAAUGUCUUCGGACCAAAGAUUUAUCGCCUUUGGAUGGGCCCGCGUUGGAUUAGCUAGUUGGUAGGGUAAAAGCCUACCAAGGCGGUGAUCCGUAGCUGGUCUGAGAGGAUGAUCAGCCACACUGGGACUGAGACACGGCCCAGACGCCUGCGAGAGGCGGCAAUGGUGAAUAUAGGGCAGGGGGCGAAAGCCUGAACCAGCAAGGCCGCGUGAGUGAUGAAGGGCUUAGGGUUGUAAAGCUCUUUUACCCGGGAUGAUAAGGACAGAACCGGUAGAGUAGGCCCCGGCAAACACCGU